UACGAAGGGGGCUAGCGUUGCUCGGAAUCACUGGGCGUAAAGCGCGCGUAGGCGGCUUCUUAAGUCAGGGGUGAAAUCCUGGAGCUCAACUCCAGAACUGCCUUUGAUACUGAGGAGCUUGAGUCCGGGAGAGGAGAGUGGAAUUUCGUGUGUAGGGGUGAAAUCCGUAGAUCUACGAAGGAACGCCAAAAGCGAAGGCAGCUCUCUGGGUCCCUACCGACGCUGGGGUGCGAAAGCAUGGGGAGCGAACAGG
rnacentral:rRNA from 1 species